AUGGAGGCCGAGAUGGACCUCGACUUCAAGAGGCUCGUCGACGAAAGGGAGGAGCACGAUGAGGACGCGCUGCGGCAGCUCAUCCCGGACAUCCGUGGGGAUGAGCUCCCUGCGCCCGUCAUGGCAACGCAGUUGAUGGAGUUCGUCGGCGGUGGCGGGGGCGUGCGGUGCACCACGCGGCGGUGGAUGGCCGCGGCCUGUGGCGAUUCUUGGAGAUGUGGCAUUUUCAUCAUUAACCUUGGCAAAACCUGGGAGAAGCUUCAGCUGGCUGCCAGAGUGAUUGUUGCCAUUGAGAACCCACAGGACAUCAUCGUGCAGUCUGCUAGGCCUUAUGGUCAGAGGGCUGUCCUCAAGUUUGCACAGUACACCGGAGCUCAUGCCAUUGCUGGCAGGCACACUCCUGGUACAUUUACCAACCAACUGCAAACCUCAUUCAGUGAGCCACGUCUUCUCAUCCUUACUGACCCCAGGACAGAUCAUCAGCCAAUCAAGGAGUCUGCUCUUGGAAACAUCCCCACUAUUGCUUUCUGUGACACUGAUUCUCCCAUGCGCUAUGUCGACAUUGGUAUUCCUGCCAACAAACAAGGGGAACCAGAGCAUUGGUUGCCCCUUUUGGGCUGCUUGCUAGGAUGGUUCUUCAGAUGCGUGGCACAAUUCUCCCUGGGCACAAGUGGGAUGUCAUGGUUGAUCUUUUCUUUUAUAGAGAUCCAGAGGAAGCUAAGGAGCAGGAGGAAGAGGAGGCUGCAGUAGGUCCUGAAUAUGCUGCAGUUGCUGAGUAUGGUGCUGCUCCAACUGACAAUUGGGGUGACCAGCAAUGGGGUGGAGAGGUCCAGCCUCCUGCCCUCCCUGCUGCACCGACUGGGGAAUGGGGUGCUGCUCCAGCUCCUGUGGCUGCAGAAGGGUGGGAUGCAGUUGCUGUUCCUCCUGCCGCCGCUGCUGCUGUUGCACCUCCUGCCGCCCCUGGAUGGGAGGAAGGCAGUGCUCCGGCACCUACUGGCUGGUAGGAAAUGUGCGGAUCAUCAUUCGUCAGCUACUGGAGGAAAACUGAGUUACUUAACAUUAUGUAAUGUAUUUGGUAGAUCUGUUUAAGUAGCUCCAUGUUAAAGUAUUGCAUAAUGUUAAGUGAGAAUCAAUUUUGAAUGCCGAUGCAUCUGGUUACUGCGUGUUAGCUUCCUUCCUGUCAACGUUCAUGGAUUACAUUGCUUCAAGUGCAUUUUGUGAGCAAAUGCUAUGACUUGCAACUCUGGUAAUUUUUCUUGUAUAUCUUCUGAUGUCAUUUGUCGGUGA